rnacentral:misc_RNA from 1 species
CGCACAUUGCGCCCCUUGGUAUUCCGAGGGGCAUGCCUGUUCGAGCGUCAUUAUCACCCCUCAAACUUUCGGUUUGGUGUUGGACUCAGCCAUCUUUACUGAUGUUUGGUCUCAAAGAUAGUGACGGCGUCCUAGAAGGAACCGGUACGAGGAGCUUUUAAUUAGGCAUGUAUCGGCAGGAUUCUACGCGGCGACGGUCUUUUACUUAAAAUUUUUACAAGUGUUGACCUCGGAUCAGGUAGGAAUACCCGCUGAACUUAA